rnacentral:rRNA from 1 species
UACGUAGGUGGCAAGCGUUGUCCGGAAUUACUGGGCGUAAAGCGCGCGUAGGCGGUUUUGUAAGUCGGGUGUGAAAUCCCCAAGCUUAACUUGGGAACUGCAUUCGAGACAGCAUAGCUAGAGUAUGGGAGAGGGAAGUGGAAUUUCAGGUGUAGCGGUGAAAUGCGUAGAUAUCUGAAGGAACAUCAGUGGCGAAAGCGACUUCCUGGACCAAUACUGACGCUCAUGUGCGAAAGCGUGGGGAGCAAACAGG